UUGAACGCUGGCGGCAUGCCUUACACAUGCAAGUCGAACGGCAGCACGGGGGCAACCCUGGUGGCGAGUGGCGAACGGGUGAGUAAUACAUCGGAACGUGCCCUGAAGUGGGGGAUAACGUAGCGAAAGUUACGCUAAUACCGCAUAUUCUGUGAGCAGGAAAGCAGGGGAUCGCAAGACCUCUCGCUUUCGGAGUGGCCGAUAUCGGAUUAGCUAGUAGGUGAGGUAAAGGCUCACCUAGGCGACGAUCCGUAGCUGGUCUGAGAGGACGACCAGCCACACUGGAACUGAGACACGGUCCAGACUCCUACGGGAGGCAGCAGUGGGGAAUUUUGGACAAUGGGCGAAAGCCUGAUCCAGCCAUACCGCGUGAGUGAAGAAGGCCUUCGGGUUGUAAAGCUCUUUCAGCCGGAAAGAAAUUGCUUCUAUUAAUACUAGGAGUAGAUGACGGUACCGGAAGAAGAAGCACCGGCUAACUACGU
rnacentral:rRNA from 1 species